rnacentral:rRNA from 1 species
GGAGUUUAGCGUGUACGCAAGUCAUUGGGUGUAUAAAACCCAAAGGCGAAAUGAAAGUAAAGAGUAGAGAUUUGUAAAGAAGUUUACUUUUUUACAAUCUUCUCUUUAGGGAAGAUGGAAAUCUCGUACAGAAAUGUAUGUAGGUUUCCCGCAUUCCCAGGGCGCUUGUUUCUUGCUUUGCGAGUCGAUGCGCACCUAGAGCGUACACGCUGAUACCCGAAAGAUGGUGAACUAUGCCUGGCCAGGACGAAGCCAGGGGAAACCCUGGUGGAGGUCCGCAGCGAUUCUGACGUGCAAAUCGAUCGUCGGAGCUGGGUAUAGGGGCGAAAGACCAAUCGA